AAUAAGAGGUAAAUUAGGGUUAUAUUAAACUAAAUAUGGUUAAGUAGGAUUAUGUAGAUCGGAUUCGUUCAUUUAUUUAUUUUUUUUUUACGUUGGCACACGAUAAAAGUAGCCGAAGAAAAAAAAAAUAGCAUGCGGUCGCAGAAAUCUCCGACCGAACAAAAGAGUUCCUCGGACACAGUGACGCACUUCUAGGGUUUUGGAAGCAGGUACUUCCGGCCAGUUUCCUUCAGACGCAGCAACACCACCAUCGCUAGGUCUUGGUGAAGAGAAGGAACAUACAAAGAAGGAGAAGUAGACGACGAUGACGUUGAUGAAUAGGUCGCUGUACGUCUCUCUCUUGUUCAAAGCCCUCACCUUCAUCCCUCGCCGUCGCCCGGCCGAUGCUGCCGUUUUUCUCUCAACCCAUUCUUAUUCCGCCGCCUCCAGGGCUCCACAAAGCAACCUCAUGGCCGAAUACCUUGUCAGCUCCUGUGGCUUCGAUCCGGAUGAGGCGGCCAAGGCCUUGAAGCUCCUUGGCCGCAUCGAAUCCCGCCACCAGCCUGACUCCGUCCUUGGCUUAUUUAAAAGCUACGGUUUUGACGACACCCAGGUGAAAAAGGUCAUAUCUGCAAACCCCCGGUGGCUUCUCCUCGACGUGGAGAAGACCCUGGCCCCAAAGUUCCGAGCUUUGCAGGAUCUGGGCUUCUCCUGCUCCGACAUCACCCACCUCGUCAUAUCGAAUAACCACGCCAUCAGCUACAAAUCCCAGACCAUCUUGUCCAAGAUCCAAUUAUGGCAAGGCCUCCUCGGGUCCAACGACUUACUGGUGAAGGUAUGCAAGAAACACAGGUGGUUUCUCGGGUAUAGCAUCGAGAAGACGAUCCAGCCUAACAUUGAAAUUCUAAGGGAUUGCGGGAUAACGGAUCAGAAGCUCUCAAUGAUCCUUCGGUACCGCCCACUCCUCGGAACCCUUAAGGCUGAAACCCUGAAGGCGUUAAUCAGUCGUGUCGAGGGUUUGGGAGUAGCUCGCACCUCAGGGAUGUUCCUCCACACCCUGAAUGCGCUCAAAAGCGUCUCCGAGAAGAACUUCAAGGCUCACUUGGAGUUCUUCGAGGGUUUCGGGUGGUCCAAGGAUGAUUUCCUUGCUGCAUUCAGAAAGGCUCCUUCUCUUGUGGGAUUUUCUUUAAAGAGUUUGCAGAGAAAGAUGGAGUUCUUGGUAAAUGAAACCAGAUGCGCUCCGUCUUAUCUUGCACCCCGGCCACGGAUUUUGUUGAUGAGUUUGGAGAAAAGGUUGAUUCCAAGAUAUCGGAUAUUGACGGUACUGAAGUCAAGGGGAGUUCACAUCGGUAACCACCAAAUGAUCACAUACAUGUUAUAUCCAGAGAAGAAAUUUCUGGAGAAGUUUGUCAUCCGCCACACUGAGUUUCCAGAACUCAUUGAAUUGUAUAAUGAAGCCCCAAAAAACAGAACUGCUCUUUGAUCCUGCGAGUGCAUAAUGCAUGGUGCAAGAUGGUCCAUAGCUUGGGAGCUAAGGAUUGAAGAAGUGUUCUGUUCCGUCAAGGUUUUGAUGCAUCAUUGGCCUAGGAGAAAUGAUGAUAGUCGCAGUGUCUUUUGUAGGUAGGUACUCUGUCAAACAAAACAGAAGCACCACUUGUAUCUUGUGACAGAAAUUAGAAUUUUCUGGAUAAUUUUUCAUCUUUGUUGAGUCAUGGGAUCAACAGAUGAUAUAGAGGAUUUGUACCCUAAUGUUUGUUGAUCAUCAUAGAUAUUGUGUUUUUGACAAAGGCUUGACUUGUUGUCAGCCAAGAAUUAUAUUAUGUACUUUCUUGCCUGAGAACUAGUUGAUGGAUAA